ACCGCGGCCUCGCCCGGCCCGGCGUCCGCCAGGUCCCAGACCCGGCCGAGCAUGGGUUCGACGCCGAUGCUGCGGUA
rnacentral:tRNA from 1 species